rnacentral:lncRNA from 1 species
CUCUUCCUGUAUUCGGCCUGUUAUCUUUGUCGUUCCAUUUGUAGACGAUUACUCCAGAUUCAUCGCUCCAUUCUCCAUCGAUUCCUUGGUGGGGUGGUGCCAGGGAAAAUAGUCCUUUAUCUCCUGAGAUCAUCAAAUGCAAAUGUUCAUAUGGAUAUAUGAGGACCAAGAACGAAUAGUCGCAGAAGAAAUUAUACGAAUAGAAGCUAGAAUGUCAAAUGAUUCACUCAGUAAUCUCGCAUCAAUCUCAGACAACUGAAUUCAUUAGCUGUGAUAACUACUUACAUAGCUCCAGAGUCCAGCCCAAAACAGAACACAAAUCGUGGCAAUUCAAUGUCAAAAUGUACCGCGGACUACCCUUGGAAACUCCCAUCGUCACAGCCCAAGAACAUGGCACGUAUUUUCCACUUUGUCAAACUUAACAAUUUGUCCUUUGAGCUAUACCACCUUCGAACCUAAUAAGUGUGUACCAUCAACCGUGUUAACUUGUUAGCUAUAACCCCCUUGACGGAGGGCGGAUCAAGAAGGACUGACUGAUUAGGCAAAGCAAAUCCCACAUCGAAAUGGAAUAAAAAAAGUGAAGAGUUUUAUAACACAUAGCUCCACUUCAAAUGGCAUGCAAGCUUUUGAAGCUCAACGCGGUGUAGCCCGAAAGACAAUUCUAUGCUUGGGCCUAAGCCCAAAGCGGACAAUACAUGUCACUCAUGGACAUGAGUCGUGAACGCUAGCCUAUGUCCAAAAGUGUGUAUUUAUAUACCUCUUCUUCAAAACCUUGCUAGCUUAGAAGUCUGUCAAUCCUUAUUUUUUGCCUAUCUUAAUACUAGGAGUACUAGUCUACAACAAUUUCUUGUCUCCAAUAAAUAGUCAAAUCAUGUGAGGUAAAAGAUAAAACAAAGAACAUGUGUAGUUUAAUGGUCAAUAACAUGGGUAAGUCUCAAGUCAAUUCUUUGGACAAAGUUAAUUGUUACAAUGUUGUUGGUGUCAAAUAUACCGUGAAAUUAGUUGAGGUGUGCAAAAAUUGAUCUGGACACCACAAUUAUCAAAUAUGUAAAUAAAUAAAACAAAGGGAAGCAAAAACAAAAUAAAAAAAUCAAGAAUUGGGAAAGGAUGUACCAUUUGUGUGGCCAUGGAAAGAGCAUGCAAUGGGGGAAUUAUCUUUGUCUUCAUAAAAAGUAUUGCACCUCAAGCAUUUCUUCUUAUAAUUUUGGGCAUUCACAAUUUGUAAUCUUCUAAAUCCUUUGGAAAUUUUUUUUCUCCAACAAGAAUUUGGGAAUAAUAUAUUUUGAGGAUGAAAAACCAGAGUCAUGAGAAAGGGAUGCAAAAAGGAUAAUUGAAGAGAUAAAUAAACAUAAAAAGUAGAAUGAAAAUAUCUUGCUCAUAUAAGAUGAGGACAAAAGCCCAAAUACAAACUAAAGCCCAUUAAUUAUAGUAUAAUGUAUGUUUUGUAUAUGUUGCAUUGCAAAAAUAGAAGAUGACAUAUGUACUGUACCUAUGCAAUAGAAGAUGACAUAUUACUUUAUGUUCUCGAAAUAAAUUAUGAUCGAGUCAAUAGAGAACUUAUGAUAAUGUUGUCAUGUUAUUUGUGAGUAAUUCAACAGGACAUAUAUGUUGAAUAUAGCAUGAAAUUUUAUAUCGAUAUAAUCAAUGGCGGAUGUACAUAUAUUCCAGGGGGUUCGGAUGAAUCCUCUUCAUCAGAAAAUUAUACUAUUUUUACAUGGUAAAAAAAAAAAUUUAUGUAUAAAUAAUAGAGGCUGAACCCCCUUCGACUAGUCCGUAUAUGUACUAUUGAACCCCUCACUGAAAAUCCUGGAUCCGCCCCUGGUUAUAAUUUAUAUGUUAUCAUUUUGAAAUGUACUUUUUUUUUCCUUUUAUAUCUUUGAAAUCAUAAAAGAGAAGUAUGAUCAUGAGUGAAUAAGAUUAAAUAAAGGUAUUAUAAAUGAAAAUUUGAAUCUAUGUCAAUCGCAUAGAGUUUAUAACUAGGGUGAAUAUAGCAUAAAAUUAUAUCAUUUUGUUGUUUUUUUAAUGUUGAUUUUGAAAUUUAUUUUUUCCUUCUAUUUGUUGUGGCUUUGGAGUUUGGAAUCAUAAUAAUUUAGUAUGAUUUUGUGAGUAAUUCAACAUGACAGAUAAAUCGAGUAUAACAUGAUCAAAUUUGUUAUAAAUAAUUACAUGUUACAACCUGAGCCUUUUUUUCAUAAUAUAAUUUUAAAAUAUGAUUUCUAUGUACCAAAUACCUCACUUGCAUGUCACAAUUUACUAAUUUUGGAUCCGCUUGAUGUCAUCUUUGGCUCUAAAC